rnacentral:rRNA from 1 species
GUAACAAGGUCUCCGUUGGUGAACCAGCGGAGGGAUCAUUACCGAGUUAUACAACUCAUCAACCCUGUGAACAUACCUAAAACGUUGCUUCGGCGGGAACAGACGGCCCUGUAACAACGGGCCGCCCCCGCCAGAGGACCCCUAACUCUGUUUUUAUAAUGUUUUUCUGAGUAAACAAGCAAAUAAAUUAAAACUUUCAACAACGGAUCUCUUGGCUCUGGCAUCGAUGAAGAACGCAGCGAAAUGCGAUAAGUAAUGUGAAUUGCAGAAUUCAGUGAAUCAUCGAAUCUUUGAACGCACAUUGCGCCCGCCAGUAUUCUGGCGGGCAUGCCUGUUCGAGCGUCAUUACAACCCUCAGGCCCCCGGGCCUGGCGUUGGGGAUCGGCGGAAGCCCCCUGUGGGCACACGCCGUCCCUCAAAUACAGUGGCGGUCCCGCCGCAGCUUCCAUUGCGUAGUAGCUAACACCUCGCAACUGGAGAGCGGCGCGGCCAUGCCGUAAAACACCCAACUUCUGAAUGUUGACCUCGAAUCAGGUAGGAAUACCCGCUG